UUAAUCGUAUAGGAUAAAAAGAUGAGGUC
rnacentral:sRNA from 1 species